UUCUGUAUACUUAUAUACUUUUCUUUUUUAGCUUUCUGAUGUCAUUUCUUCACAAUCAUUGCUUGGCACGAAAAUUCAAGAGCUAGAAAAGAAAAUGAAGCCCAGAUUAGUCACUAUUCAACAAUUAUGUGCUAUGAUAAAGAUGGGCUCACGAGUGAAACGUGGACCUAAUUGGAACAAUCAAAUUCAUGGGAAUGCUGAUGGUGCUUAUCCUUCUUUGGGAACUGUUAUCUUAGAGAUUCCAGCUUACAAGAAAUUUAGAGUUAAAUGGGAUAAUGGCUAUGAAAAUAAUUACACUGUUGAUCCGCAGAUGAACUUUUCAGAAAUCCAGCUUGCGUCCCUGCCUGAAAUAGAUUGAUCACGACAAUAUUUCUUGAUAUAAAUUAACCAACUAGAAAGUCUUAUCCUUCCCCCAAAAAAAUUAAGUAGAAUAUCUUUGCUUGAUAAAAGAUAGUGCUUUUUGUCCAAAAUAGAAUGACUAGUCUCUCCCCCUGAAAAUAGAACUUGCUGUAAAAUAUAAAUGUAUAUACUGAUAAAUACUAUUUUAUUUUAAAAUUCCAAAAUAGAAUGACUAGUCUCUCCACCUGAAAAUAGAACUUGCUGUAAAAUAUAACUGUAUAUGUAUAUACUGAUAAAUACUAUUUUAUUUUAAAUCUAUGCUUAACUUAAACAUUUAGUAGACAUUAUUAAUUCUAAAAAAACAAAAAAAAAAUAAGGGAUUAUGCUGCGUGUACUUACACUUCUGCUAAAGUUACCAUUGUUCUCAUAAUCAGAACUGUUUAAUAAAUUUCGGGAUAAGUUGAAAUUAGGGUGUCAUGGUCAGCAUAAAAACCACCAUUCACUUUCCCCUGAAAAAAGUAAUGUACCCUAAAGAGUUGAGUUUUUUGGGGCUGUCUUGAUAUCUUAGCUUUAUGUGUAUUCAACCUAAAUAUGACCUUUACAUUCAUUUGUGUGUUAUGGAGGUACAAAAAAAAAAAGUCAUUUUUUUUAAAUGUCAUCAGCAUACACCACAUGUUGAAACAGACAUAAUUGUAUAAUAAUUGUAUAAUAAUUUAAAAUUAUAUUUUUUUAUGCAAACACAAAAAUAGUUAUUAUUUAUGUACUCUUAAUCCUAAAUAUGUACACAGGAAAAAUUAUUGUGAUUUUCAUGAGAACUUGACUAUCUUUCUAUUAUGUUACUCUCUAUAACUUUCUCUUUCAAUGACACUUCAGACUGUUUGCUCAUUUGUUGCCCAGUUUAUCUUCAGUUCCAUUAUCCUUUAUUUUUUUUAUUGUGCUGUGAAGAGCAGUGUACAUCAAUUGUUUGUUGAGUUGUUUUGGAAUGAAGAGAUUUUUUAAGGUGUAAGGGACUGUAUAGGCACCAGUCAGAAAGAUAUUCUGACUUCAGCAUAUUAUAUGUGGUUGGUUUAAUAGGUGGUAGCAGCUAGUUUUCCUUUUCUUGUGCUGUCAUUAUCAGUGGAUAAGAACUUUACUCUCUUCCAUUGAACCCGUUUAUGAGAAUGUCAGAACCUUCAUUUUAAAUGGAUUCUUUAAGUGACAUACCUGUGAGCACUGUAACCAAUUUGUUUCUAGAAUAAUGAAUUUAAAUGUAUUCACUAUUUCUCUGAACUCUCUUUGAUUGUUAAUUAAUUUGUUAUGAUUUCAACAGUGUCUGAUAGAAGACAGGUAGAGUUUAGGGUAUACAUUCAGUCAUGUUUUACUGGUUCAAGUAUUACAUUUUAACUUAAUGGUAUUUUUAAUCGAAGCUAAUGUAUAUAAUUAUAAUUCUAUAUAUAAAUUUCUAUAAAUCUACAACAAAUUUUAUAGAAUGGGUAUAGUUUUUAAAAAUUCUGCUGACUUGUUAAUUGGAUCAAAUAUUUCACCUGUGAACAUUCCUUUUAAAAAGUAUUCACUUUGCUUCUUAUUAAUGAUUAAUAUUUGCUGCAAUAUAUCUAAACAUGAUUUAUAGUGUAACAUGUCAUUUUUGUCUUUGUGAUAUUGUUGAUUAAUCUUUGUUGACAUUUAAUUUAUAUUUUUUGUAAUAAAUAUUGGUAUUAUUGGUAGCUAGUAAUGAUCAAAAUGUUCCCUAAAAUUAAUGGACAUUUAACUAAUAGUUAUAUUAAAAAAUUGCAAAUAAUUAUAA
rnacentral:sRNA from 1 species